AGUGUACGCCCUCCCUUUUCCCCCCGCUCCGGCAAGCUGCUGGGAAGCCAGGCCUGUGCUUGAAAGGCGAAGGAACUACAACUCCCAGAGUUCCCUGCGGCGAGAGCAAGGGGAAAAGCACAGGGAAAAAACCCCACAGCAAACGGGGCCAGGACCGUUCCUCGCCUCGCGGGAGUCUGAUUUCUCCAAGAAGCGUAACCUCGUCGUCACGGUUACAGGGCAGCAUGCAAGAGGAAGCUACCUGACAUGAAUGCAAGAGCUGAACCUGAGGUGUGGGGGAGAAAAUUAGACACUGACAAGCAGUCAGGGUUUGGGAUCCCUGGUUCAUCCAUUGCACAGGAUAGGGCCUUCUUCUGGGGAUGAGCCGGUGUGGUGAAGAAGACAAUUGUCUGAAGUACCCCUAUUUUAUUUGUAUAGAAGUUAGAAGGUGUGUAGUGAAUGAAACUGGAAACUGCAGGAAGAGAGAAUGAUUUUAUGGGCCUCAGUCAAGAUCAGAAAGCCAAUGAGGUUGGUACUGACAACCAUGUGAGGAAAAGAUGGACCCCACCGUACAGCACUUAUAAUCAAGUGUAUGAUGGAAAGCAACAAAAGAAUACAAACAAACAGGUGUGAGAAGUACAACCAAGGCAACAACGGGGAAUUACGCAUAGCCUACUGGUGUAUAGGAGCAUGAUAAUGUACUACAGAUAUGUCUAUUAUAUAUAGAAUAGAAGAGCCUAACACCCUGCUCCUGUCAUCAGUGAUAAGGCUGCGCUGCACAACUCUUUACUCUCUCCUUCUUAACCCAACCUUCCAGAAGAGCAAUAGCUACAGGAGGCCCCCAACUUGUGAUUUGGUUCUGGGAGAAGUGUCGCAAGUCGGGGGCAUUGUAACCUAAACCCUCAUUUACAAUAGGCACUGUGCGCAUGUGUAAAUGUGGACCGAGGACAUAAGUCGGGGGGUUUCGGCCCCUUCCACACUUACAAAAAUGGUUGUAAGUGUGGGGGGAAGGGGGUUGGAACUCGGGCAGUUUCAAGUCGGGGGCCUCCUGUAUUAGCAAUCCUCCAAGUCACACUGACAGGGAAUACCAAAAUGCCUAUCAAGAAAUUGGGGAACAAGCCUUGAUAGUUAGUCAUAUUGCCUCCCACAUUCAUCCCUGUUAGCUGAAACAUACCAUUUCUCUGUAAGAAAUGUUAGCAAGACUUGUGAGAUGACAUCACUGACUUGUCACCUAAUCUGUAUUCUUCACCUGACACAAAACAAGUUUGUGGGGUUAAUUUAAAAACAAACAAGCCACAAUUUUCACUGUCCCUAAAUAUAGCAUGUAUUUUAACAUCUCUGAAAUGAUUGAGUCUAUUAAAACGAUUAAAACCACAAUCUUAGUAUCUAUCAAAAUUGAGCUCAACUCUUGUAAACAGUACAUGCAGACAUUCUGCAUACAUAUGUGGAGUGAUUCAGUGGAUCCUUUCUUUGGAUCUAUUGGUUGUUCUAUACCAGAGGCAUUUAAAAGUGUAAUCCAUGUUGCUAAAGAAGAGGGAUUUCAAGUCUUAUUUAGCUGAUGAGUUAAAAUCUUGAUUUUUCGGUUAAUAAGAUUUUUCGGUAAUAAAUGGAAAAACUACUUAAUUAUGAUUGAUAAAGGUGACAAAAAUACAAUUAUAAAAGAUAUAAAGGUGGUCAGUGUCUUAAUAAAAAUGUAACAUGGAAUUUUCUAAAGCUCCCAGCAUUGGCUUCUCUGCUUUCACUGUAGUCAGAAAGAAUUUUACCAUUUACUUCAGUGAGAGCAAUGUUAGGCACUUAGGAUACGUCUACACAGUGCAGCUAUUUCAGGAUACCGGAGGUACCCCACAUCUUAAUAAGCUGCCCAUUAUUUCAAAAUACUUUUUUUGAAAAGUAUUUGAAAAGCGCACUAUUUCGGCAUCCCUGGAACCCUUGUCCCAUGAGGGUUUAGGGAUGUCUCAAAAUAGUACAUUAUUUCGAAAUUUGGCACUGUGUAGAUGUGCCAUAUUUCAAAAUAAGCUAUUUCAAAAUAGAAUUGAAAUAAGACAAACAAUUUGUGUAGCACAAAUUGUGUCUCUUAUUUCGACUGUAGGGUGCUGUGUAGAUGCACCCUUACUGUCUCUAUGGUGUCAGCUUGUAUGCUGGGAAUUUCCCCAUUAGGAGUAAGCAACUCUUGGAGGAAUGGGGAAAUGUAACAAUUCUGUGAAGUUAUGUAAAGAUGUUAUAACAACCAGAUUCUGGCCCCAUCUUAAUAUCAGGUGCAAUCAAGGUCAUUGCAGGAGGUCCCACAUGUUCUCAAAGGAAUGAAUCUUAUAUCACUCUAACCAGGAUGCCCCCAUAGUGUUGUUUUUCCCAAAUGGAUCUGCACCGUUGCAGAUUUAUUGGCCAAAUUCCUCCCUCUCUCUGCAAUGCUACAGGGAGAAUUUCCUGUUGCUGUAAGUGGUCUAAGUACCACUAUAUGGGACAGUGAACUACACUAGAUGUGUGGGUUACAGAAACACAAGUUCUCCUGUGAUCUCUCCAUAGCCUGUUUCAUGCCUUGUCUUUUGCAGCAGUUACAGUGGUUCUCCUGUGUUUAGGGUCUAUAGUGCUUGCAGAGCAGGAUGUUGAAUUUGAACCCAUGAACAGAUAUUUUUUUUAAAGCCACAGAGUAACUCCUAGGAGAUGUAUUUGGAAGGAAAUAUUAUAAGACAGGGCCAGAUCCUUCCAUCUUUACUCACAUUGGACUAACACCUUACUUUGUGAUUAGUCCCAUUGAAAUCAAGGGGACCCCUACUUGAUUAAGGUAGAAAUCAAGGACAGCAGAAAUCUCACCUAGGAAAAUAAUUAGCCAUCUCCUUUUUACCUGUUCAACAUGAUGAAUUACUGUACUUUGUCGCCAUACUAAUUUUAUCAUGCCUUAUUUUAUGCCUAAUGGGAAAUGUGUUACUUGGAAGCUGAGCUUAUAAAGUAUUGACUGCUUUCAACUUCCACUGAUAUUUUCGUUAGAUAUAAAUUAAUAUUAACUGUUUUUAAAAUCCAAGAGUAGUUGAAGAAAUAUCUUCUUUAUAUAAAUCACAAUAUUAAAGUCCUAGAGAAAAUGUUGUCAGCUGACACAUUUAAUCUCUGGUCACUAGUGAUUAUAUUGGGAUUUAUGUGGGAAUCCUUUCUUACCAGUUCCUCGGGCACAUUUUAAUUCAUCAUUGGGAUGAGAAGAAGGGGACGGAAGUGUGUGAAAUGAAGGGCCCUUUCUAUUUGCAUUAGCUUUUUGUACAGUAGACACUAUAUGCUGAUGAUACAAGAAAAAUAUUCUGUUAAAAAUUUACUACAGCAAAUGAAUACUUUUCAUAAUUCUUUUCUGUUUCACAGUCCACUAUUGGAAUUACUUUAUUUUAUUGGACCGCUGUUGCUACCCAGGUGAUAAGGCUUAUACCCCAGUAGAUGUUACUGUUAAACUGUACAGCACCCAAAAAUGCACUAAGCUGUUGAGAUUAUAUGAUCCCAUGAUAAAGAAUUUACAGUCUGAUUUUAGACACAGUACAAUUACUGAAACUUUAAAAAAGGGGGAAAUAUAAUGACAAGUUUUAUACUCUAGUAAUAUGAUCAUGUAAUACCUCAGUUUUUAGCAUGUACACAUCUUGAAGAUUCUGUAACACAUAUAACUUAGAAAACAAAGUAUCUUAUAAGUGACAUGAAAGAAAUGUGUGUGUGUGUGUGGGGGGCGCAGUUAGGAGGGAUUUGAAGGAAGGAAGUGUGGUACUAUUUUAUACACCCGUGAUUGCAUGUAAAAAGGGCUAGUAGAGGAAACUGAGAAAUGGGGUUGAGACUGAUGCUGAUGGUAGUAAAAACUGGUCAGACCUUCUCUUGUGCAGAGCUCCAUGGAAGUCAGUGUAGCUGGGAAGCACAGUGUUCUGCUUACAUGGACUAACUGGGAGAAUUUUAUAAUGGGGGUGCUGCUGAUGGAAACCAUGUAUUUUAUUUGGUGCUUGUCAUGACUAUUUCAUGUUACGAGAUAUGGUAGCACCUCUAGUUCCAGCACCACUGAUGGGAUCUGCAGUAUAAGCUAGGGCAGAGUUGUAAAAACAAAUUUAAAAUUUAUAUUCUGGGUAAGGAGGAGAUUUCAUUCAGUCAUGUUGGUUAUUGGCAUCUUCAGAGCUUGGCCCUUUGCCCCUGCCAUUCCCACUCAGAGGUCCUGCAGUGUCAGCAUACAACAAAGAUAGUGUAUUGAUUUUUAACAUUCAUAAAACAACAGUUAUCAACUUUGGGGAAAACUUUUUAAAAAACAUUUUUAUAUAGCUCCAGUAGUGUGAUGUGUGAGAGGUACAGGUACAAAGACACAGGGUGAAAUCCUGGGCCCAUUGAGAUGAAUGGCAAAACUCUACUUAAAUGGAUAAUUUAAGACAAACUUUAUAGGUCAAAUUCACACUCCAGCUCCAGCAGACAUUAUAGUUGUGUCAGAAUGUUUGGAAGUUUUGCAGUGAGGAGAGAUGUUUAUUGUGGCCUAGACUGACAUCAAUCAGUGCUCCAGAAGAGUGGGAGCAUCCACAUUUUAUGGUUAACUAGAGUAAAAUGACAGAAAACAUGUUUCUUUUCAUUCAGAAAAUGCCCUUUUUUAAUGCUCACAUCUCAUUCUUUCCCAUCUCAACAGGAGCGUAACCCACAGUCAAUGAAGCUGGCUGAAUGUGCAUGCCCUGUACAUUAAGACUGAAUUCUAAAAUUUAAACCAAAGCAGCAUAAUACAGAUCACUAAUCAGGGAGCAAGUGAAAAGUAUAAAUUCUUUCUCCAAAGAAACAUAACAAGGAUAUUAUGGUUCUGGUUUCAAAGUAUCAACUCAGUCUCUUCAGCAUUUCUGGCCAGGUAGCUUGAAUUUAUGGGUAUGCCUACAGUGAAUAAACACAUUGAUUCCACGUGACCAGAGCUGUCCUUUCCCAUACACAGAAUAUGCAGCUGUGUAGGGCAUGCAAAAAUUUGGGGCACCACUGGUUCUUAAUGUCUAGUCAUCUGCCUCUUUCUAUCCCUGUUCUGUGGCUUAGCGUCUUCUGGAAAUUAUUUUGUUAACUUAAAAGUGAAAAAAGCCUGCCAGAGCUAGUAACAGAACAUGGAACCUUUGAAAGAGCCAUUCAAGUGAUAAUGAAGCUAUUUAACAGGCAUCUGCCAUCUCCAGGUAUAUGCGGUCAGUUUCUGAAUGGACUGUUAGUUAAUAGUACCUUAGUUUUAAAAAUAUUUUAUU